UACGUAGGGUGCAAGCGUUAAUCGGAAUUACUGGGCGUAAAGCGUGCGCAGGCGGUUGUGCAAGACCGAUGUGAAAUCCCCGGGCUCAACCUGGGAAUGGCAUUGGUGACUGCACGGCUAGAGUGUGUCAGAGGGGGGUAGAAUUCCACGUGUAGCAGUGAAAUGCGUAGAUAUGUGGAGGAACACCGAUGGCGAAGGCAGCCCCCCUGGGUCAAGACUGACGCUCAUGCACGAAAGCGUGGGGAGCAAACAGG
rnacentral:rRNA from 1 species